GCGCCGGUAGUGUAAUGGCGAGUAUUCUGCUCAGUAAGCAGGGAGUGCGGGUUCGAGUCCUGCUCUGCGCU
rnacentral:tRNA from 1 species